UAUUUCCUACGGGGCGCAGCAGUGGGGAAUAUUGCACAAUGGGGGAAACCCUGAUGCAGCAACGCCGCGUGAGUGAAGAAGUAUUUCGGUAUGUAAAGCUCUAUCAGCAGGGAAGAAGAAAGACGGUACCUGACUAAGAAGCCCCGGCUAGCUACGAGCCAGCAGCCGCGGUAAUACGGAGGGGGCAAGCGUUAUCCGGAUUUACUGGGUGUAAAGGGAGCGUAGACGGGAUAGCAAGUCU
rnacentral:rRNA from 1 species